CCCGUGGCAACGCCGCGACGAGGAAAUCUUUUAGUUACAUUACAUCGUUGGCCUUCUUCCUGUGACAGAGAAAGUUAUGGACAUGGUAGAGGCUGCCGAGAGGAGUUCCCUUGCUGCAACCUCCAAUGGUAUUUCCGGUGCAGUGUCCAAGAGGGGGAGGUUCAGACUUCAGAGCAAUGAUAACAAGGAGCUCGAUCAAAAAUCACCUAUGAAAAAUAUGUCGUUCUUCUCUACAGGGGUUGAAUGUGGAAUUUGAGGAGAAUCUGUGCACCAGCAUCCGACUCCUUGAUGUUGCUCUGGUCAUAUUGUGUAAAUAUAUUUCUAAUAAAGCAAUCGCCCGAUGGUGUACAUGUUAGAAAUAACAAGAUGUAAUCAUCAAGUGUGAGAGAUGGCAACAUCAUGAUGGGAUGCAGCCAAGCCAACAACAGAGCCAGGCUUAGGCCUAAUGAUGACUUGACAAAUAUGAUCAAGAUGCUGAAGAUGAGGAAUCUGACGAAACUGAAGAAAUAGGGGGUACUCUUAGCUUUAGUUCCUUAUAUCAUUUUUUGAUAUUCAUUGCUAUGUAUCUGUAUAAACUUGCUUCGGCCAUUAUUGACAAUUGGUCAGCAAAAGAAUUGCAUAUCUCUACCCAUCCAGAAUAAGCGGAUGAGAUGAUGUGCAUUCAUUUGGUGGCACAAAAUCAAUUUCCUUUGCCAACUAAUAGUACAUAAAUUAAGAAAAUUAAUACAGUUGGCAGCUCUUCACUGCAUGUUUUGAAAUGUUUCGUGUGCUUGUCCUACCAAGUUACUUAUAGAAGCAGGUACAACAUGCUAAGUAAGCAUCCAAUUAUUUACCCUAUUUUUUGUAUCAAUUCGAGAAAGACGAGAACGAUGGCUGGAAGGCAGGGCGUUGUUGGAUGGAAGGAAGAGUGAGAGAGAUAGGAGCGGCAUGAGGUGACAAGUUCAAUGGGGUUGCCAAGGAGGUUUGAGGGAAACAGGCCGCCAUUGAGAUUUUUAUAUCCGCUGGCAUGCACGCUUGCUUGCUGAUGUGCGCGUUUGGCUGUUGUUGCUGCGCAUGUGUGCGUGGUAUGCCCCUGCCACUGUGUAUCGCUGCAAUGUUGUGUGCUUGCUGCUGCUGAUCAGCGUGUGUGUGCGGUUGUGCGGUUGCUGUCGCGUUUUCUGGUAAAACCACCAUGCACUUCUUUUUCUUGUGCUGAACAAUUCAUGAUCACUAUACCACUGAACUCUUUCUUGAACAGAAGCCACGUGAACUUAGUUUGAGCUCUUAUGUUGUUAAAUGAAGCAUGAUUUUUAGUAAGCUGAACAAUAGUUCUGAUUUCCUCACUUAACAGGAAAUUUUCAGUUCUAUUUGUAUUGUUCUAAUCAGUUGUUUUUACACUACUAUGUAACCAGCACUCUUAUAUAUCAAGUGAUUAUAGCAUCUUGAUUAUUUCUGUAUUGACUUUCCUUUCUCAGAUUACUGAUCCAUGGUCUUC